GGCUCAGAGCGAACGCGGGCGGCGUGCCUAACACAUGCAAGUCGAACGUGAAAGGGGGCAACCCCGAGUAAAGUGGCGUACGGGUGAGUAACGCGUAGGUAAUCUACCCUAGAGUCCGGAAUAACCUGCCGAAAGGCGGGCUAAUACUGGAUAGAGCGACGGAAUCCGCAAUUGGGUUUUUCGGGAAAGGGAGGGAGCAAUCUCCCUCGCUCUAGGAUGAGCCUGCGUCUCAUUAGCUAGUUGGUGGGGUAACGGCCUACCAAGGCAUUGAUGGGUAGCUGGUCUGAGAGGAUGAUCAGCCACACUGGAACUGAAACACGGUCCAGACUCCUACGGGAGGCAGCAGUGGGGAAUCUUGCGCAAUGGACGAAAGUCUGACGCAGCCACGCCGCGUGAGUGAAGAAGGCCUUCGGGUUGUAAAGCUCUGUCGAGCGGGACGAAAAGCUAUACAGUUAAGAGCUGGGUAGUCUGACGGUACCGCUAAAGGAAGCACCGGCUAACUCCGUGCCAGCAGCCGCGGUAAUACGGAGGGUGCAAGCGUUGCUCGGAAUUAUUGGGCGUAAAGGGUAGGUAGGUGGUCUCAUUUGUCUGGGGUGAAAUCCUUGGGCUUAACUCAAGAAGUGCCCCAGAAACGGUGAGACUAGAGUGCUGGAGAGGGUCGUGGAAUUCCCGGUGUAGCGGUGAAAUGCGUAGAGAUCGGGAGGAACACCAGAGGCGAAGGCGGCGACCUGGACAGUGACUGACACUCAACUACGAAAGCGUGGGGAGCAAACAGGAUUAGAUACCCUGGUAGUCCACGCUGUAAACGAUGGGUACUAGGUUUGGCGGGUCUUGACCCCUGCCGAACCGGCGCUAACGCAAUAAGUACCCCGCCUGGGAAAUACGGUCGCAAGACUAAAACUCA
rnacentral:rRNA from 1 species